UAUCAAGAGACUACUUUUCUCUGUCAGCACCUGAAGUAACACAGCAAUAAUGACAGAAAAGUCUGAACUGCUUGAAAUCCAAAGAGAUCUACUGAAGAGUUGAAUGUAAUGAGGGAAAGAGCUACAGCAAAUGAGAAACAUGAUUAUGUGGCAGCUGGGUUACUGGGAGAAGCCACAGCGAUGUGAUAAAAACAGCUUGUGUGAUGAGGAGAAAAACUGAUUUCCCCCUUUACACCACAUCAAAUGGGUGUUUUAAGAAUAAAGCUACAACAGUUAAGAAA